UACGUAGGCAGCGAGCGUUGUUCGGAAUCAUUGGGCGUAAAGAGCGUGUAGGCGGCCCGGUAAGUCCGCUGUGAAAGUCGAGGGCUCAACCCUCGAAUGCCGGUGGAUACUGUCGGGCUCGAGUCCGGAAGAGGCGAGUGGAAUUCCUGGUGUAGCGGUGAAAUGCGCAGAUAUCAGGAGGAACACCAAUGGCGAAGGCAGCUCGCUGGGACGUGACUGACGCUGAGACGCGAAAGCGUGGGGAGCAAACAGG
rnacentral:rRNA from 1 species